rnacentral:ncRNA from 15 species
AUUAAUUACAUAUGAGAAUCAUGUAUAACUCCAAGAAUAUGGCUUGGGGGUCUCUACCAGGAACCAAUAACUCCUGACUACAAAAUGCGUAUUAUAGCGU